UACGCAGGUGGCAAGCGUUAUCCGGAAUUAUUGGGCGUAAAGAGCGCGCAGGUGGUUAAUUAAGUCUGAUGUGAAAGCCCACGGCUUAACCGUGGAGGGUCAUUGGAAACUGGUUGACUUGAGUGCAGAAGAGGGAAGUGGAAUUCCAUGUGUAGCGGUGAAAUGCGUAGAGAUAUGGAGGAACACCAGUGGCGAAGGCGGCUUCCUGGUCUGCAACUGACACUGAGGCGCGAAAGCGUGGGGAGCAAACAGG
rnacentral:rRNA from 1 species